UAUAUAUUUAUUUUCUUGAUCAUUGAUGUAAAUUAUAACUGGGCCAAAGAAAUGAGGAAGGAAGAAAGAUGGAUGAAUACAAGGAAC